rnacentral:rRNA from 1 species
GAUGAACGCUGGCGGCGUGCUUAACACAUGCAAGUCGAACGAUGAAGCCCAGCUUGCUGGGUGGUUUAGUGGCGAACGGGUGAGUAACACGUGAGUAACUUGCCCUUAACUCUGGCAUAAGCCAGGGAAACUGGGCCUAAUUCCGGCUAGGAGCGUCCACCGCAUGGAGGGUGUUGGAAUGAUUUAUCGGUUUUGGAUGGCCUCGCGGCCUAUCAGCUUGUUGGUGAGGGAAUGGCUCACCAAGGCGACGACGGGUAGCCGGCCUGAGAGGGUGACCGGCCACACUGGUACUGAGACACGGCCCAGACGCCUACGGGAGGCAGCAGUGGGGAAUAUUGCACAAUGGGCGCAAGCCUGAUGCAGCGACGCCGCGUGAGGGAUGACGGCCUUCGGGGUGUAAACCUCUUUCAGUAGGGAAGAAGCGAAAGUGACGGUACCUGCAGAAGAAGCACCGGCUAACUACGUG